AUUGAACGCUGGCGGCAGGCCUAACACAUGCAAGUCGAGCGGAUGAAGGGAGCUUGCUCCUGGAUUCAGCGGCGGACGGGUGAGUAAUGCCUAGGAAUCUGCCUGGUAGUGGGGGAUAACGUCCGGAAACGGGCGCUAAUACCGCAUACGUCCUGAGGGAGAAAGUGGGGGAUCUUCGGACCUCACGCUAUCAGAUGAGCCUAGGUCGGAUUAGCUAGUUGGUGGGGUAAAGGCCUACCAAGGCGACGAUCCGUAACUGGUCUGAGAGGAUGAUCAGUCACACUGGAACUGAGACACGGUCCAGACUCCUACGGGAGGCAGCAGUGGGGAAUAUUGGACAAUGGACGAAAGCCUGAUCCAGCCAUGCCGCGUGUGUGAAGAAGGUCUUCGGAUUGUAAAGCACUUUAAGUUGGGAGGAAGGGCAGUAAGUUAAUACCUUGCUGUUUUGACGUUACCAACAGAAUAAGCACCGGCUAACUUCGU
rnacentral:rRNA from 1 species